rnacentral:rRNA from 1 species
UGCGUAGGUGGUGAGGUAAGUCGGAUGUGAAAGCUCGGAGCUCAACUCCGAAAUGGCAUUGGAAACUACCUUGCUGGAGGGUUGGAGGGGGGACUGGAAUUCUCGGUGUAGCAGUGAAAUGCGUAGAUAUCGAGAGGAACACCAGUGGCGAAGGCGAGUCCCUGGACAACACCUGACACUGAGGCACGAAAGCUGGGAGCAAACA